rnacentral:rRNA from 1 species
CUUGGUCAUUUAGAGGAAGUAAAAGUCGUAACAAGGUUUCCGUAGGUGAACCUGCGGAAGGAUCAUUAUUGAAUCACGGGCGAGGGUUGUCGCUGGCCUCUCGGGGCAUGUGCACGCCCGAGCCAUCCCCAACAAACACCGUGGGCCUUCGGGCCCGCGUAUAUUUACUCUGAAUGUGUAUAGAAUGUAAACCGUUCGUCUGCCCUGAAAAAGCAAACGAAAAAAAAAGUACAACUUUCAACAACGGAUCUCUUGGCUCUCGCAUCGAUGAAGAACGCAGCGAAAUGCGAUAAGUAAUGUGAAUUGCAGAUUUUCAGUGAAUCAUCGAAUCUUUGAACGCACCUUGCGCUCCUUGGUAUUCCGAGGAGCAUGCCUGUUUGAGUGUCAUUAAAUUCUCAACUCCGAUCGAUUUGUUUCGACCUCGGAGCUUGGACUUUGGAGUGUGCUGGCGUCGGUCGGCUCCUCUCAAAUGCAUCAGCGGAAUCUAACGUUUCGGACGUCAGUGUGGUAAUCACGUUGCGCUGUCAACCGAUCCUGAAAGGCCCGCUCAUAAUGGUCUUCGGACAACUUCAUAUCAAAUUUGACCUCAAAUCAGGUAGGACUACCCGCUGAACUUAAGCAUAUCAAUAAGCGGAGGAAAAGAAACUAACAAGGAUUCCCCUAGUAACUGCGAGUGAAGCGGGAAAAGCUCAAAUUUAAAAUCUGGCGGUCUUGCGGCCGUCCGAGUUGUAAUCUGGAGAAGCGUCUAUCCGCGCCGGACCGUGUACAAGUCUUCUGGAAGGGAGCGUCGUAGAGGGUGAGAAUCCCGUCUUUGACACGGACAACCGGUGCUUUUGUGAUGCGCUCUCGAAGAGUCGAGUUGUUUGGGAAUGCAGCUCAAAAUGGGUGGUAAAUUCCAUCUAAAGCUAAAUAUUGGCGAGAGACCGAUAGCGAACAAGUACCGUGAGGGAAAGAUGAAAAGCACUUUGGAAAGAGAGUUAAACAGUACGUGAAAUUGUUGAAAGGGAAACGUUUGAAGUCAGUCGCGUCGGCCGUGACUCAACCUGGCUUCUGCUCGGUGCACUUCUCGGUUGACGGGUCAGCAUCAAUUUUGACCGCCGGAUAAAGGUUGGGGGAAUGUGGCAUCCUUCGGGAUGUGUUAUAGACCUCGAUUCGGAUACGGCGAUUGGGAUUGAGGAACUCGGCGCUCUGCGUCCAGGAUGCUGGCAUAAUGGCUUUAAGCGACCCGUCUUGAAACACGGACC